AGAGUGUAGCUCAGGGGUAGAGUGUGUGCUUAGCAUGCACGAGGUCCUGGGUUCAAUCCCCAGUGCCUCCA
rnacentral:tRNA from 1 species